rnacentral:rRNA from 1 species
GCUAACUCUGUGCCAGCAGCCGCGGUAAGACAGAGGGUGCAAACGUUGUUCGGAAUUACUGGGCGUAAAGCGCGUGUAGGCGGCUCGGAAAGUCGGAUGUGAAAGCCCUGGGCUCAACCCAGGAAGUGCACCCGAAACUUUCGAGCUGGAGUCCUGGAGAGGAAGGCGGAAUUCUCGGUGUAGAGGUGAAAUUCGUAGAUAUCGAGAGGAACACCGGUGGCGAAGGCGGCCUUCUGGACAGUGACUGACGCUGAGACGCGAAAGCGUGGGGAGCAAACAGGAUUAGAUACCCUUGUAGUC